UGAACGCUAGCGGCAGGCUUAACACAUGCAAGUCGAGGGGCAGCGUGGAGCAGCAAUGCUCUGACGGCGACCGGCGGAAGGGUGCGUAACACGUGAGCGACUUGCCCGUCACAGGGGAUAACCGGCGGAAACGGCGACUAAUACCCCAUACGAUGCGAUGCUGCAUGGCAUUGCAUUGAAAGAUUCAUCGGUGGCGGAUAGGCUCGCGGGACAUUAGCUAGACGGCGGGGCAACGGCCCACCGUGGCGACGAUGUCUAGGGGUUCUGAGAGGAAGGCCCCCCACACUGGGACUGAGACACGGCCCAGACUCCUACGGGAGGCAGCAGUGAGGAAUAUUGGUCAAUGGGCGGAAGCCUGAACCAGCCAUGCCGCGUGAAGGACUAAGGCCCUACGGGUCGUAAACUUCUUUAGACGCAGAGCAAUAAGGUCCACGUGUGGACCGAUGAGAGUAUGCGUAGAAUAAGCAUCGGCUAACUCCGUG
rnacentral:rRNA from 1 species